GACGGGGACAAGCCAUUCCUCUCAGGCAGCCCUUGUCCCCCUCCUGGCUCCAGAAGGGCAGCAUAGGCCCAGAAGCUGCAGGCGUGGACAGAAACGAGGUCUCCCGGGCUCCGGGUGCGGAAGGCUCAGUGGAAACUUUCUGAGUGGUUGUCUUCAAAAGGCCCACCUAGCACAGGACUCCAGAGAAUGCUUCGUUGAGCCCGGAGCAGCUGUCCAGACCUGGUGUCCAGAGUGAUCCAGCAGCUCCACGCAGCAAGCUCCAGAGAUCAGCCACAGACUGGUGCCCCCCCACCCCAGGCAGCAAUCGGCUGCAUCAUGGCCUCACUGGGGCACAGGCAAUGCAGAGACCUUGAACAAACAUCCCGUCGUACAUGGCCACCAUCCCAGUGUGCAUACAGAAAGAGGCCACCCUGGCCAUUAAGAGAUCAAGGUGAAGCAGGAUAAGGAAGAGAUCUUCCCCAGUGGAAGAGGAUGGAGAAGACCCUCACGGUGUAGCGGCUUCCCCAGAGGUUCCCACACCGCCUUGUGCCCCAGUGGGCUUUGAAGCCACAAGAGUCCUCUUUGCUAAGGUAUUGUGGACUGCAGUAACCCGGAGCGCCCACUAGAGGUCACACCACAACCUCUUUAAAAGGAAUGGUCAGAUUGACAGACGGUGCCUGUAGAUGGGAGAGCUAACGUAGGAGGUAGACUACAUCAGUGCCAGAUCAUGACCCCUCCAUGAGCCCCCAUCUGUAAUGCCAGCUCCCCCAUGUGUAAUCUCAGUUCCAGAAAGCAUCCACCCCUGCCCUCACAGCUGGCUGGCUGCUGUUUCCCACAGGAUGAGAAAAGGCUGGAAAGGAAAGGGAAAGUCUGGCGAAACCACCUGAUAUUUGCUUUAAAGUAUUUCAGGUCUGGAGCUGGACCUCAGAGGUAGGCACCUGCCUGGUGUCACCCCCACCCCUGUGAAAAUGAAACUGUCUCAG
rnacentral:lncRNA from 1 species